rnacentral:rRNA from 1 species
AUGGCUGUCGUCAGCUCGUGUCGUGAGAUGUUGGGUUAAGUCCCGCAACGAGCGCAACCCUCGUCCCAUGUUGCCAGCGGGUAAUGCCGGGGACUCAUGGGAGACUGCCGGGGUCAACUCGGAGGAAGGUGAGGAUGAUGUCAAGUCAUCAUGCCCCUUAAGCCCAGGGCUUCUCGCAUGCUACAAUGGCCGGUACAAUGGGCUGCGAUACCGCAAGGUGGAGCGAAUCCCAAAAAGCCGGUCUCAGUUCGGAUCGGGGUCUGCAACUCGACCCCGUGAAGUCGGAGUCGCUAGUAAUCGCAGAUCAGCAACGCUGCGGUGAAUACGUUCCCGGGCCUUGUACACACCGCCCGU